CUACCUUUCACUGCACCGCUACCUCUAUUCAUACAACACAGUAAUUUAAACUACUCUGCAGAUUAGUUUAAAUUACUGUUAAAGAUCAUAUUUGCAUGGUGCGCUUCAUAAGUUGAGGGUAAACAAAAGUGAAUGUUCCUUUUAGGCUUGAUGGUGAUGAACUCGUCUGACCUGCAGAGGGAUGAAAUCAGCAGUCUGGCCUUUUCGUGGGACUUGCCACCAGUAAUUCAGAGACAGCUAUUAUUUCAACAUGUGCUGGUAUCUUGAGAAUUCCACUUCCUGUGGGACCUUGUUGUAGUAAAGUAGAGGUAACUGGUGGGAAGUGGCUCUGCUCGUACACAGCGUCUCUGGAAGCCUCAAACAAAAUCUGGGGACCUGGAAGAAACAGCAAGACAAGGAGAUCAGGAGCUCUCUUCCCCCAGAACCUUUCUCUGCUGACAGACUAGGAUGGCCACUUGUGGGUCAUGUCUCUGGUGUAUCAUCUGGCUGGUGGUUCUGCUAUUCAUCGGCUGGCCUCUUGGCAUCGCUUUAGGCGGUCUCUACGGCCUCAUCAGCCCCCUCACAACCUGCCUGGGCCUGGACCGACUCUCUGAUCUACUCCUGGAAGGGGCCAACCUGGGCCGAACUUGUGCUAAUAAUAUGAGGCACUGCAAGCCUUUGUGUUGAGAUCCAGUCACCAAGACCUGACAACACCGGGGCCAAAGACCAGAUAAAAUGCUUUUCUACAGAGAAGAGCCUUCACUUUAAGGAAAACUAUUAAUGUCUGUUUAUGCAGUGACAUCUUGAAACAAAUGCCACUCAAUGCGGUAAGAAACUUGACAAGUUGCAUAACAAAAAGGUCCGGAAGGUCUAGAAAAUGGAUCUGUUAAGAUGUAACUAACCAUGUAUUUCAAAAUUGCAUGGGUUUGUUAGGAAGGAAAUCAGCUUUGGGUUCAUUUUCUGUUUGCUGUUUAAUUCAUGAUGACACUGUAUGGAGAAGAUGAGAAUGAAAAUGGCAAUUUAACAAUGGCAGUGAUUCGACCUCUAAAUGACUCUAUGGAAACUUAUGUGAUUAAAACUGCUUUGA